AAAUCCUCAGCAUAGUUCCUGGAGCUCUCCGGUGUUGUCUCUGAAGGAGAUGUGUUUUUAUGCAUUCAUCAUUUAGAUAAGCAUAGCAUAUUGCAUCAUUAGUUGGAAAUGGACGUGGUAUUGAAAUCCUCAGCAUAGUUCCUGGAGCUCUCCGGUGUUGUCUCUGAAGGAGAUGUGUUUUUAUGCAUUCAUCAUUUAGAUAAGCAUAGCAUAUUGCAUCAUUAGUGCGUAACAUUUCCAUGAGCAUGGGGCAUUGCGCUAAAAAAAACUCAUGCAUCAGCAUUGCAAACAUAUCCAUUAGCCCUAGGCCGUGGUGACCAAGAAUGGGUUGUUGGAAAGAGUUUAGC
rnacentral:lncRNA from 1 species